UACAGAGGGUGCGAGCGUUAAUCGGAAUUACUGGGCGUAAAGGGCGCGUAGGUGGUUAUUUAAGUUAGUGGUGAAAAGCCUAGGCUCAACCUAGGUCUUGCCGCUAAGACUGGGUAACUAGAAUCUGGUAGAGGGAAGUGGAAUUUCCGGUGUAGCGGUGAAAUGCGUAGAUAUCGGAAGGAACAUCAGUGGCGAAGGCGACUUCCUGGACCAAGAUUGACACUGAGGCGCGAAGGCGUGGGUAGCGAACAGG
rnacentral:rRNA from 1 species